UCUCUUUCUUCAGAUGAUGAUCCCAAGCCUUCUGGCGAUCCACGACAAGUUCUUUGUGGGACUUUGAGAAAAGCUUUUCCAUUAAAAGAAUGCUUUCAUGUGAUAGUGCCGGGGAAGGUUUUCCGGUUUAUCCAGGAGGGCUUGUAGCUCAGUUGGUUAGAGCGCGCGCUUGAUAAGCGUGAGGUCGGAGGUUCAAGUCCUCCCAGGCCCACCAUAUCCAUCCAUAGAAG
rnacentral:misc_RNA from 1 species